rnacentral:sRNA from 1 species
GACAUCUGUUCUUUCCUUUUUAUUGCCCGCAAAGUUUCAACUCGUAGUAGUAGUAGUAGCAGUAGUAGUAGCAGUAGUACUAUUUUAUUAAGUUACAUGUCGCACCACAACUUUUGUUCAAUCCCUUUGUUGCACUUUGUAUCCUUGAUUACAUGCCCACCAGCCACGGCCCCACGACUCGCAUAUAACUAAAUCACGACAUUCCAAGCCAAAAAGGACAAAAGGGGAAAGAAAGGGGGUUCCACUGGAUAUCCAUCCAUUAAUUCCGGGUUGCAAUGUUAUUUCGUAGCUACUACCCAAUAGCCUCUCCCAACAUAUCAACAAAGCCCAUGGAGCAAUUCCCCCC